UACGUAGGGACCAAGCGUUGUUCGGAUUUACUGGGCGUAAAGGGCGCGUAGGCGGCAAUUCAAGUCAUCUGUGAAAUCUCCGGGCUUAACUCGGAACGGUCAGAUGAUACUGCUUUGCUCGAGUGCGGAAGGGGCAAUCGGAAUUCUUGGUGUAGCGGUGAAAUGCGUAGAUAUCAAGAGGAACACCUGAGGGGAAGGCGGGUUGCUGGGCCGACACUGACGCUGAAGCGCGAAAGCCAGGGGAGCGAACGGG
rnacentral:rRNA from 1 species